AUUGAACGCUGGCGGCAGGCCUAACACAUGCAAGUCGAACGAGUGGCGGACGGGCGAGUAAUGUCUGGGAAACUGCCUGAUGGAGGGGGAUAACUACUGGAAACGGUAGCUAAUACCGCAUACCAUGAGAUGUGCCCAGAUGGGAUUGGCUAGUUGGUGGGGGAACGGCUCACCAAGGCGACGAUCCCUAGCUGGUCUGAGAGGAUGACACGCCACACUGGAACUGAGACACGGUCCAGACUCCUACGGGAGGCAGCAGUGGGGAAUAUUGCACAAUGGGCGCAAGCCUGAUGCAGCCAUGCCGCGUGUAUGAAGAAGGCCUUCGGGUUGUAAAGUACUUUCAGCGGGGAGGCGUUACCCGCAGAAGAAGCACCGGCUAACUCCGUGCCAGCCGCCGCGGUAAUAC
rnacentral:rRNA from 1 species